rnacentral:rRNA from 1 species
AGAGUUUGAUUCUGGCUCAGGAUGAACGCUGGCGGCGUGCAUAACACAUUCAAGUCGAACGGGCAGUAUUCCUUCGGGGGUGCUGCUAGUGGCGGACGGGUGAGUAACGCGUGAGCAACCUGCCUCUGUGAGUGGAAUAACACAGGGAAACUUGUGCUAAUACCGCAUGACGAAGCGAAGCCGCAUGACUUUGCUUCCAAAGAUUUAUCGCACAGAGAUGGGCUCGCGUCCGAUUAGGCAGUUGGUGAGGUAACGGCUCACCAAACCGACGAUCGGUAGCCGGACUGAGAGGUUGAACGGCCACAUUGGAACUGAGAUACGGUCCAGACUCCUACGGGAGGCAGCAGUGGGGAAUAUUGGGCAAUGGGCCGCAAGCCUGACCCAGCGACGCCGCGUGAGGGAAGAAGGUCUUCGGAUUGUAAACCUCUUUGACAGGGGACGAAGUAAGUGACGGUACCCUGAAAACAAGCCACGGCUAACUACGUGCCAGCCGCCGC